AGUGAACGCUGGCGGUAGGCCUAACACAUGCAAGUCGAACGGCAGCACAGUAAGAGCUUGCUCUUACGGGUGGCGAGUGGCGGACGGGUGAGGAAUACAUCGGAAUCUACUUUUUCGUGGGGGAUAACGUAGGGAAACUUACGCUAAUACCUCAUACGACCUACGGGUGAAAGCAGUGUAUCUUCGGACCUUGCGCGAUUGAAUGAGCCGAUGUCGGAUUAGCUAGUUGGCGGGGUAAUGGCCCACCAAGGCGACGAUCCGUAGCUGGUCUGAGAGGAUGAUCAGCGACACUGGAACUGAGACACGGUCCAGACUCCUACGGGAGGCAGCAGUGGGGAAUAUUGGACAAUGGGCGCAAGCCUGAUCCAGCCAUACCGCGUGGGUGAAGAAGGCCUUCGGGUUGUAAAGCCCUUUUGUUGGGAAAGAAAAGCAGCAGGUUAAUACCCCGCUGUUCUGACGGUACCCAAAGAAUAAGCACCGGCUAACUUCGUG
rnacentral:rRNA from 1 species